rnacentral:rRNA from 1 species
GGCUCAGAACGAACGUUGGCGGCGUGGAUUAGGCAUGCAAGUCGAACGAGAACCGGGUAGCAAUAUCCGGGGAAAGUGGCGAAAGGGGCAGUAAGGCGUGGGUAACCUACCCUGGGGUUGGGUAUAGCCGGUCUAACGACCGGGUAAUCCCCAGCGACGUCAUUCGGGGGCAUCUCCGGUUGGCCAAAGAUUUAUCGCCCCGGGAGGGGCCCACGUGAUAUUAGCUUGUUGGUGGGGUAACGGCCCACCAAGGCAAAGAUGUCUAGCGGGUGUGAGAGCACGACCCGCGCCACUGGCACUGAGACACUGGCCAGACUCCUACGGGAGGCUGCAGUCGAGGAUCUUCGGCAAUGGGCGCAAGCCUGACCGAGCGACGCCGCGUGUGCGAUGAAGGCCUUCGGGUUGUAAAGCACUGUCGAGGGGGAGGAAGCCGAAAGGUUGACCUAUCCCUGGAGGAAGCACGGGCUAAGUUCGUGCCAGCAGCCGCGGUAAGACGAACCGUGCAAACGUUGUUCGGAAUCACUGGGCUUAAAGGGCGCGUAGGCGGGCCAGCCAGUCUGUGGUGAAAGCCUCCAGCUUAACUGGAGAAGUGCCGUGGAUACUGCUGGCCUCGAGGAGGGUAGGGGCAUCUGGAACGGUCGGUGGAGCGGUGAAAUGCGUUGAUAUCGACCGGAACUCCGGUGGCGAAGGCGAGGUGCUGGGCCCUUUCUGACGCUGAUGCGCGAAAGCCAGGGGAGCAAACGGGAUUAGAUACCCCGGUAGUCCUGGCCCUAAACGUUGAGGACUAGGUAGUGGACUUAACAUGGGUUCACUGUCGGAGCAAAAGUGCUAAGUCCUCCGCCUGGGUAGUAUGGUCGCAAGGC